ACACCGGCGUGGUACUAGUCACCGAGCCGCACCCCUCGGAAAGCGCGGAGUCGAUGACAGCCACUUCACAGGCUCACGCGCUCCUAGUGUGGGCUUGAAGGGGACGGGGACCGAUUACCAAAGGAGAGCGCUGAGUACGGAAGACACAGGGCAGCCUUUGUCUUGGGUUUAGCGCUGAUGCGCUCAACCCUGAAUCGGGUUCACUGCAACUGUUGUGUCCGAUUUCGGUUCCCUGCAACCGCCCUCCUGGGCGAGAGAUGUCAUUGUGUUCCUGCGGCCAGCGGGACUGAGAGCUGGGACUUAAGACGCCAGGAGGGUCCUGCGCUCACGGAUACUUUUACAAAAUCUGAGUCAUAAAUUACAGAUAGUCUUGAUGAAAAUUCAGAACAUAGGAUUUAUUUUCAAAAAGAAAUGUACCCCAAAAGAACUCUGAGAGAAUAUACUCAACUGUCCUGCUGUGAUUAAACAAGACUGCUGUAUUUUAUGGGGUUUCAGCAUGUUGCCCAGGCUGGCCUCGAACUCCUGGACUCAAGCGAUCCACCUACCUCAGUUUCCCAAAGUGCUGGGAUUACAAGCAUGAG
rnacentral:sRNA from 1 species